rnacentral:rRNA from 1 species
GAUGAACGCUAGCGGCAGGCUUAACACAUGCAAGUCGAGGGGUAACAGGAAAAAGCUUGCUUUUUUGCUGACGACCGGCGCACGGGUGCGUAACGCGUAUAGAACUUACCUUUUACAGAGGGAUAGCCUUUAGAAAUGAAGAUUAAUACCUCAUAGUAUUGAGAAUUGGCAUCAAUUUUUAAUUAAAGAUUUAUCGGUAAAAGAUAGCUAUGCGUCCUAUUAGUUAGAUGGUAAGGUAACGGCUUACCAUGGCGAUGAUAGGUAGGGGUCCUGAGAGGGAGAUCCCCCACACUGGUACUGAGACACGGACCAGACUCCUACGGGAGCAGCAGUGAGGAAUAUUGGUCAAUGGGUGAGAGCCUGAACCAGCCAUGCCGCGUGCAGGAAGACUGCCCUAUGGGUUGUAAACUGCUUUUUUAUACAGGAAGAAACACUCGGACGUGUCCGAGCUUGACGGUACUGUAAGAAUAAGCACCGGCUAAC